rnacentral:rRNA from 1 species
GAUAAGGAGCUUGCUCCUUUGACGUUAGCGGCGGACGGGUGAGUAACACGUGGGUAACCUACCUAUAAGACUGGGAUAACUUCGGGAAACCGGAGCUAAUACCGGAUAACAUUUGGAACCGCAUGGUUCUAAAGUGAAAGAUGGUUUUGCUAUCACUUAUAGAUGGACCCGCGCCGUAUUAGCUAGUUGGUAAGGUAACGGCUUACCAAGGCAACGAUACGUAGCCGACCUGAGAGGGUGAUCGGCCACACUGGAACUGAGACACGGUCCAGACUCCUACGGGAGGCAGCAGUAGGGAAUCUUCCGCAAUGGGCGAAAGCCUGACGGAGCAACGCCGCGUGAGUGAUGAAGGGUUUCGGCUCGUAAAACUCUGUUAUUAGGGAAGAACAAAUGUGUAAGUAACUGUGCACAUCUUGACGGUACCUAAUCAGAAAGCCACGGCUAACUACGUGCCAGCAGCCGCGGUAAUACGUAGGUGGCAAGCGUUAUCCGGAAUUAUUGGGCGUAAAGCGCGCGUAGGCGGUUUCUUAAGUCUGAUGUGAAAGCCCACGGCUCAACCGUGGAGGGUCAUUGGAAACUGGGAAACUUGAGUGCAGAAGAGGAAAGUGGAAUUCCAUGUGUAGCGGUGAAAUGCGCAGAGAUAUGGAGGAACACCAGUGGGCGAAGGCGACUUUCUGGUCUGUAACUGACGCUGAUGUGCGAAAGCGUGGGGAUCAAACAGGAUUAGAUACCCUGGUAGUCCACGCCGUAAACGAUGAGUGCUAAGUGUUAGGGGGUUUCCGCCCCUUAGUGCUGCAGCUAACGCAUUAAGCACUCCGCCUGGGGAGUACGACCGCAAGGUUGAAACUCAAAGGAAUUGACGGGGACCCGCACAAGCGGUGGAGCAUGUGGUUUAAUUCGAAGCAACGCGAAGAACCUUACCAAAUCUUGACAUCCUUUGAAAACUCUAGAGAUAGAGCCUUCCCCUUCGGGGGACAAAGUGACAGGUGGUGCAUGGUUGUCGUCAGCUCGUGUCGUGAGAUGUUGGGUUAAGUCCCGCAACGAGCGCAACCCUUAAGCUUAGUUGCCAUCAUUAAGUUGGGCACUCUAGGUUGACUGCCGGUGACAAACCGGAGGAAGGUGGGGAUGACGUCAAAUCAUCAUGCCCCUUAUGAUUUGGGCUACACACGUGCUACAAUGGACAAUACAAAGGGCAGCUAAACCGCGAGGUCAUGCAAAUCCCAUAAAGUUGUUCUCAGUUCGGAUUGUAGUCUGCAACUCGACUACAUGAAGCUGGAAUCGCUAGUAAUCGUAGAUCAGCAUGCUACGGUGAAUACGUUCCCGGGUCUUGUACACACCGCCCGUCACACCACGAGAGUUUGUAACACCCGAAGCCGGUGGAGUAACCAUUU